rnacentral:misc_RNA from 1 species
UCCAGGUUAUCCCUGGCGGUCUCCUGAGAGUGCACCCUUGCGGGUUAGCAACACAGGACAAGGGUUGCGCUCGUUGCGGGACAUAACCCAACACCUCACGGCACGAGCUGACGACAGCCGUGCAGCACCUGCACAGGCUCCCUUGCGGGUCCCUUGGCUUUCGCCGCGGUACCACCUGCAUGUCAAGUCCGGGUAAGGUUCUUCGCGUUGCAUCGAAUUAAACCACACGCUCCGCUGCUUGUGCGGGCCCCCGUCAAUUCCUUUGAGUUUUAGCCUUGCGGCCGUACUCCCCAGGCGGGGCACUUAAUGCGUUAGCUUCGGCACGGAAGGAGUCGACACCUCCCACACCUAGUGCCCAUCGUUUACGGCGUGGACUAC